rnacentral:rRNA from 1 species
GUGGGGAAUAUUGGACAAUGGGCGAAAGCCUGAUCCAGCCAUGCCGCGUGUGUGAAGAAGGUCUUCGGAUUGUAAAGCACUUUAAGUUGGGAGGAAGGGCAGUAAGUUAAUACCUUGCUGUUUUGACGUUACCAACAGAAUAAGCACCGGCUAACUUCGUGCCAGCAGCCGCGGUAAUACGAAGGGUGCAAGCGUUAAUCGGAAUUACUGGGCGUAAAGCGCGCGUAGGUGGUUCAGCAAGUUGAAGGUGAAAUCCCCGGGCUCAACCUGGGAACUGCCUCCAAAACUAAUGAGCUAGAGUACGGUAGAGGGUAGUGGAAUUUCCUGUGUAGCGGUGAAAUGCGUAGAUAUAGGAAGGAACACCAGUGGCGAAGGCGACUACCUGGACUGAUACUGACACUGAGGUGCGAAAGCGUGGGGAGCAAACAGGAUUAGAAACCCCAGUAGUCC